GCUGUGUCUAUAAUAGAAACAAAGAAGAGCAUGGAUUUGAAGACGUGUUGUAGUAUUUAGGGAUCUGCAGGUCUCAAGUUACUGUCAGCACCAGUUGUGAUCUCAAUGCAACUGUCUUAAGUUUUGGUCUCUGGGGAGGGAUUUGAGGCCGGCUCUAAGGACUGCAGCGCCAGGAGAUUAUUUGAGGUAUCCCUUGUGGAAAGGGAGAAAACAGAUGUUUCUAUGGGAUUAAGGCUAGAUUCGUGAAGAUUUGACGAGUAAAUCAAGUAUCAUUAUCAUGAUGGAAUAAAUAGCUGACAGUGGUUUUGAGGAGAUCUCUGAGAGCCCACAUAGAUAAGUGAAGAUGUCAAAUAGAUGGAAGAUCGCACGAUUCGCACCACAAACAUUUUGCGUUAUGCAGCUUGAAGGGUGUUAUUCAAAUAGCUAUGUCACUUAGACAAUUUUGUUACUUUUCCUAUGUAAGUCAUAGUCACGUAACUGAAACGUAAUGUUAAAAAACGUCAGAGCUUACUUACCCAACAUGCAUGAAAGUGCUCUUCUCAGUAGACGAGAGAGACGCAGGCAAACAGAGGGAGAAGGAGACCCUGCCUUUCUUCUCAGUCAAGUCGACGAAACGUGUUGAUUCCUCAGACCGAAGUGCUGAUUCAAUGCUUAGUGGGGUUGAAGAGGCGAUGAUUUGCUAGCGAUCAGCCUUACUAUUAGCAAUGGGAGAGGCAUCUGAACCAUUCUGUGGGGACUGAAAAAGCAAGAUAACAUCCACAUCUGCUGAUGUCUAUCUGAAAGUUGUCAGGAGAGUUAACCAGGCGGCAUUACUGCCGCGUAGGUUCCACUGCGAAUGAUUGAAUUGCUCGGCUGCUUUUCAAAUUAUUCAUAAAGUGAUCAAGGUACUGCAAGCCGUCACACCACGAAGACGGCCCACUUACUGUGACUGUUAAAAAAAGAUCACUCAACUCCAGUUACGCGGAACGAUUAUACAGUUGUCAUUGAGAUAAUGUCUAUCUCUCUUGCUAAAUUGACUACUUUAUCUUGUUUUAUCAGCAAUGAUUUCCAAAAUCCAACACGCACAUCUCCAAAUAAGUAAUCUUCUCAGCCAAUCAGGGUGCCGAAUUCCUGAGGCGAUUAAUUGAGUUUUCGGAGCAAAACAGUUUUAAAACUGAUAUGGAUCACCGUCAAAUCUCUCUCCUACGGGUACUUGGAAAAUUUGCUUUUGAAUGCACCGACGGUUGGCCUCGGCGGCUUUGAUGGAGUGAAAGGGUUGUGGCAUAAAUCGCAGGGAUCAGGGCUUAUAGCGACGAGUGCCUUACCGUGUGCCAUCAGGGCUUUGAAUGUCAACAGCAACUUAGAUUGGAUAUCGGUUCAGCUGAGCGAAAGAGGCCUGACGCGAUAAAAUAUCCAUACCAGAAAGAGGGGCUAACAGUGCAAAGACCAGCGUUGUCUUAUUUUCUGGCCACACAUUUGCAAUAGAAGGGGGGUAAAGGACAAGUCUUCUUCUCGUAUGCAUAUAAUCACCCCCUUCCCCUAAAAGCAACUGAAAGGCCAUGGUGGUGUCAAGAGUCACGACGAGAUAUUGGUAUUAUUUGAAAAAUUAAUGUCUGGUCUAGUACUCCAGUAUUUUCAAUUGUUAGUUAACAAAGGAGUGGUAUAUCGACAUAUCGAUAAGGGAUAAAUGACCAUAUAGCUUGGGAAAGUCUCGGUCAUUUUAGGUCUUUUAACGGGAAGGAGGGAGUCGGAUGCUAAGAGUUAAAAUUCGACCCCAUGCUAGCCUACGACCCUGUCUACUUUUUGGCUUUUUUUCUGCUUUCUUUUGAAGCAUUACGCGGGCUCGCGGUCAUUCUCAGGCUUGAUUGGAUAAUACACUGAUGACGUAGAAUUUCUGUUAGAUUUAUCCUUGAUUGUAAUUGGUCUACCGACAAGGAAUAGCUGACCACUCUCACGCGCUGUUAUCUCUUCCGGUGUCGAGAAAUCAGCUUGCGCUGCCGUGUUAUCUGCAAGGCAAGGUUAGAUGUAUUUUGAAACUGUGAAACUGUGAGGCGUAUAUGUCCAUUGCAUCUAAAAAAAACGGCUAACUGGGAGUUGCAUUGGGACAAUACGGGUCUAAAACCGGAAACU